UACGUAGGGCGCAAGCGUUGUCCGGAAUUAUUGGGCGUAAAGAGCUCGUAGGCGGCUUGUCACGUCGGGUGUGAAAGCCCGGGGCUUAACCCCGGGUCUGCACUCGAUACGGGCAGGCUAGAGUGUGGUAGGGGAGAUCGGAAUUCCUGGUGUAGCGGUGAAAUGCGCAGAUAUCAGGAGGAACACCGGUGGCGAAGGCGGAUCUCUGGGCCGUAACUGACGCUGAGGAGCGAAAGCAUGGGGAGCGAACAGG
rnacentral:rRNA from 1 species